CUUGGUCAUUUAGAGGAAGUAAAAGUCGUAACAAGGUUUCCGUAGGUGAACCUGCGGAAGGAUCAUUAAUGAUUGGCCGAAAGGUCUUAUCAACUAUCCAACACCUCUUGUGAACCGUUGACCUCCGGGUCUCCUUAUACAAACAUCAGUGUAACGAACGUCAUGUUAUCUUAACAAAAAACAAAACUUUCAACAACGGAUCUCUUGGCUCUCGCAUCGAUGAAGAACGCAGCGAAAUGCGAUAAGUAAUGUGAAUUGCAGAAUUCAGUGAAUCAUCGAAUCUUUGAACGCACCUUGCGCCUUUUGGUAUUCCGAAAGGCAUGCCUGUUUGAGUGUCAUGAAAUCUCAAUCCCCUCGGGUUUUACGACCCGAUCGGACUUGGACCUGGGUGUCUGCCAGUCAAAUGGCUCACCUCAAAUGACUUAGUGGGGAUCUCUCUGACACCCGCGACAGACGUAAUAAGUUUCGUCUCGUCCCUUGUCUAACCGAGCCUGCUCAUAACCCGCCAUCGCGCACCUUUUGACUCUGACCUCAAAUCAGGUAGGACUACCCGCUGAACUUAAGCAUAUCAAUAAGCGGAGGA
rnacentral:rRNA from 1 species